rnacentral:rRNA from 1 species
GAUGAACGCUGGCGGCGUGCCUAAUACAUGCAAGUCGAGCGAACGGACGAGAAGCUUGCCUCUCUGAUGUUAGCGGCGGACGGGUGAGUAACACGUGGAUAACCUACCUAUAAGACUGGGAUAACUUCGGGAAACCGUAGCUAAUACCGGAUAAUAUUUUGAACCGCAUGGUUCAAAAGUGAAAGACGGUCUUGCUGUCACUUAUAGAUGGAUCCGCGCUGCAUUAGCUAGUUGGUAAGGUAACGGCUUACCAAGGCAACGAUGCAUAGCCGACCUGAGAGGGUAAUCGGCCACACUGGAACUGAGACACGGUCCAGACUCCUACGGGAGGCAGCAGUAGGGAAUCUUCCGCAAUGGGCGAAAGCCUGACGGAGCAACGCCGCGUGAGUGAUGAAGGUCUUCGGAUCGUAAAACUCUGUUAUUAGGGAAGAACAUAUGUGUAAGUAACUGUGCACAUCUUGACGGUACCUAAUCAGAAAGCCACGGCUAACUACGUG